GGGUUGUGAGGUUAAGCGACUAAGCGUACACGGUGGAUGCCCUGGCAGUCAGAGGCGAUGAAGGACGUGCUAAUCUGCGAUAAGCGCCGGUAAGGUGAUAUGAACCGUUAUAACCGGCGAUUUCCGAAUGGGGAAACCCAGUGUGACUCGUCACACUAUCAUUAACUGAAUCCAUAGGUUAAUGAGGCGAACCGGGGGAACUGAAACAUCUAAGUACCCCGAGGAAAAGAAAUCAACCGAGAUUCCCCCAGUAGCGGCGAGCGAACGGGGAGGAGCCCAGAGCCUGAAUCAGCAUGUGUGUUAGUGGAAGCGUCUGGAAAGGCGCGCGAUACAGGGUGACAGCCCCGUACACAAAAGCGCAUGUGCUGUGAGCUCGAUGAGUAGGGCGGGACACGUGGUAUCCUGUCUGAAUAUGGGGGGACCAUCCUCCAAGGCUAAAUACUCCUGACUGACCGAUAGUGAACCAGUACCGUGAGGGAAAGGCGAAAAGAACCCCGGCGAGGGGAGUGAAAAAGAACCUGAAACCGUGUACGUACAAGCAGUGGGAGCACAGGUUUACCUGUGUGACUGCGUACCUUUUGUAUAAUGGGUCAGCGACUUAUAUUCUGUAGCAAGGUUAACCGAAUAGGGGAGCCGGAGGGAAACCGAGUCUUAAUUGGGCGUUAAGUUGCAGGGUAUAGACCCGAAACCCGGUGAUCUAGCCAUGGGCAGGUUGAAGGUUGGGUAACACUAACUGGAGGACCGAACCGACUAAUGUUGAAAAAUUAGCGGAUGACCUGUGGCUGGGGGUGAAAGGCCAAUCAAACCGGGAGAUAGCUGGUUCUCCCCGAAAGCUAUUUAGGUAGCGCCUCGUGAAUUCAUCUCCGGGGGUAGAGCACUGUUUCGGCUAGGGGGCCAUCCCGGCUUACCAACCCGAUGCAAACUGCGAAUACCGGAGAAUGUUAUCACGGGAGACACACGGCGGGUGCUAACGUCCGUCGUGAAGAGGGAAACAACCCAGACCGCCAGCUAAGGUCCCAAAGUCAUGGUUAAGUGGGAAACGAUGUGGGAAGGCCCAGACAGCCAGGAUGUUGGCUUAGAAGCAGCCAUCAUUUAAAGAAAGCGUAAUAGCUCACUGGUCGAGUCGGCCUGCGCGGAAGAUGUAACGGGGCUAAACCAUGCACCGAAGCUGCGGCAGCGACGCUGAUGCGUUGUUGGGUAGGGGAGCGUUCUGUAAGCCUGUGAAGGUGGCCUGUGAGGGUUGCUGGAGGUAUCAGAAGUGCGAAUGCUGACAUAAGUAACGAUAAAGCGGGUGAAAAGCCCGCUCGCCGGAAGACCAAGGGUUCCUGUCCAACGUUAAUCGGGGCAGGGUGAGUCGACCCCUAAGGCGAGGCCGAAAGGCGUAGUCGAUGGGAAACGGGUUAAUAUUCCCGUA
rnacentral:rRNA from 1 species